rnacentral:lncRNA from 1 species
AAGAGACCCCAUCAGAAGCUUCUUCUUCUUCUUAACCCUUCAGCCAUGGCUUCUCUACUUCAGACCUUGAACACCUCAAGAACCCUAGAGAAGAAGAUCUCCCAGCCGUCACCCUCACCAAGAGACCCCUCACUGCCGUUCUUAUUCUUCAACCGCCCAUCGGCUGCUCGCCGACCACAUGCACGCACACAGCCAAACGACCACCCACAUCUCCUCCACCCUAAAGCAGCACAAACACACACACACACACACACACAUACUCAUUCUAGCGAAAAUCCCUGAUCUCUCACACAGAAGAGAACCAACAGCCGCCGCUACAGUCGCCCACCCUUAUCUCCGCCAAAACCCAUCCACCCAUCAAUGUCGCCUGCCCUACCCGCUCUAACCUCUCCCGCCGCCUCCCAUAUCUUGCCCACUGCUACUUCAACUCAAGCCACUGGCAUAAAACACGCACAUACAGUCACAGAUAGAAAAAAAUUACGAGACAGACGAAGAGUUCCCUUUCCCUUAUUUUCAUUUUUCAUUGAAAUUCCAUAAGAGAAUUAUACAUUAAAAAUGUUUCUAUUUUGUGAAUUAAGGCUUCUUGGGCAAGGACAGAAAAGAGACAUAUACGUACAUAGACAACUUUCAUUUUUCUUUGGUUUUAAAUUUCUAAAACAUGGAAUCUAGUUAAGUUUGGAGCCGUUUUGAGUUCGAGCCGUUUGACAUUGUUCGUGGGGGUUUCGAGUUCCCGAUUCCAGCCCUGUUCCAUAGUUUUGUUCGAGUAUUUGUGAAGCUCGAUUUCAUUUUGAGGUUCAAUCUUAAACUCUACUUCUUCUAUUUAUUCUCUUAUGUGAAUAUUCUGUGCUGGUUUGUUAUUGCAUUUUAGUUGUUAUCAUGUGGUGAUUUGCAGUGUCAAUUUCAAAUUUGUUUGAGUUGGUUCUUUGUUUUUUUAAUUAUAAGAAAAUAGUUGAACUCACAUUAUAGGAAUACAAACAUGUGCUGAAGAACAAAUGUACUUAACAGUCAAACGUAUUGGAUUGUUUUGCUUAAAUGGGUAUGUGGGUUUUGGACUAAAAUUAAAAAGAGUUUAGACUCAAUACAAUUUCAUUACUCCUGUGUUUUUGGGUUGGAUCGUUAGGAGCAUGUUUUAGGUCGUCAUCACCUCGGUAGGCAAACUUUAGGAUGUUUGUUAGCUUUGAGGCGAAAGAUUGUUCCCUUAGCUAAAUUUAUCCGGGGAAUGCCCCGAAGGAUCUGUACAUAGUUUAUUCUGGGGAAUGCCCUGUAGUAUUUUGUAAUUGGAGGCCGCGGCGAACAUCGUAGAAUAAGUAGCGUAGGAUAAUUUAGAACUUUAAUUUUAAUUUUCCUUCAUUUAGGUGGGGACGAUCUCGAGCCUCUUUUAUGUUUAUUUUCUUUUUCUGUGAUUUUACCUCAAUUUGAACGUUUUAAAAUCCAACUUGAUCAUGUAUGCAACCGUACUAGUUACCGUAAUAACUUCGUAUAGCAUACAUUAUACGAAGUUAUACGNNNNNNNNNNNNNNNNNNNNNNNNNCUUCUCCCCCGACGUCAAAAUGUAAACCCCCCUUACCCCGAAAUCUCUGAUGCAGAUUAUGUUUAGAGUCAAAAAAUGUGUUUUGAAAGGAAAAAUUGCUUUGGAACAGUGACCUGGCACACUGAAACCCCCAAUGCUAGGUGGCGACUUUGGAAAAAUCCUUUUUAACACAAUCUUUUGUCAUUGUUCAUAAUUGAAACCCUUUUGAGCUUUACAAAUCUUUUUAUUAUCUUAAGAGGGUCAAUGAAGUGUAAAAAAAUGGGUGUGACAGCUUUGGCGACUCUACUGGGGAGUUGCAGGUUCGAGCUAAUACUUGAUCUUGUUGGUUUUUAGGAUAUUCGGUUGAGGUUUUUAUGUGUUUUGUUUGCUUUAUUUGAUUUUUAUUUUGUUUAUGUCGUUUUAUUAUUUGCUAGUUGCUUAUUUGUUUACAGUUUUUCCUUUAUGUGUUACUGCUUUAUAAACUGUCAUCAUUUGCAUAACCCUAGGUCUUUUUUUCUACAACAAGUCUCGGAGUACGCAUCGCGUACACGAACUCUUUGUUGAGUCACCCUUAUUUUGGGGGGGGGGGGGCGUCGGAUGUAUGGAGUGGAUGGAAAGAUAGAGCAUCCACCAUCGACCAUACGCUCUCCCGAAUUGCCUUGUUAGUGAACCUCAAACUUAGGUCAGCCUUUAGGUCAUUCUUAUUUGCAUCAUGUUCUUUAAACCUAGCAUGACUCGGUCCCAAGCAGUGUGUCCCGUCGUAGGAGGCCUAUCCAAAUUAUGUCAAAAUUGGCUCGUGGCCCAAAAUGACAUUCAAUCAUCCUAUAUGCUAAAUGUUGCAUCUACGAGGGUAGAAAGGUCAUUUGGAAGACCGAUGUUUUGGAAAGAAGGGUGAAAAAUGAAGCAAAUAGGGACCAAUUAUAUUUUUCUUUCACAACUUUUUCAAGAAAAGACCAAAAAAAAAUUGAAAAAUGAAAAAUCCAAAAACAUUUUGCACUUUCCCAGUUUUUUUCGAAAAAAAACCCAAAAAGAUUUUACAUUUUCCAUCAUUUUUCAAAAAGACAAAAAAUAUAGUUUUUCCAAAUUAGUUGUAUUUUUUCUAAGAAAAGCUUUCUCCAUGUUCAAUCUUCCCGAACUACGCAUACCUGAUACUCGUCUUUCGAGCCGGGAUACGUAGGCAGCCCACAUAGGGUCCAGUAUUCCUAGUAAGUCUUAGGUUUUUGGCUUCAUGGGGUCUUAGCCAAAUCUUGCAUGUCUAGCCACUUUUGGCCACAUCGGCCAUUCUUGCAAAAUGUGGUCAUUUUUGCAAAAGUGGUUCAAUGACCCAUGUAUUUGGAUCUUGAGUCCACAACUAGGUGUCAUAUUUAUUUAAGGUCCUUCCUUUUUGAGUUUGCAUCUUUAGCCACUUUUGGUCAUAUCAGCCUUUUUGCAAAAUGGGUCAUUUCGGCAAAUUAAUUUUGGGCCAUAAUUAUUGGGAGUUUUGAAUCCAUAUAAGCCUUAGUGAGGUAUCUCCAUAUCUGAGUAGUCACUUUUGUUGAGUUUUCACUUCUAGCCACUUUUGGCCAUAUAGGUCAUUUUGUAAAAAUAGCCCAAUCAUAUCUUGUAUGUGUCUAGUGUGAGGUGUUGUGGCGUAGCAUAGUGUCUAAAGUCACUAGCUCUAUUUGGUCUUAUUUUUCUCAUUCAUGUGUGGCUUUAUUUUCCAGAGCACGAGCAUGAUAAAUACACCAGGACCAUCAUAUUUGGGAGCUUGUUUGAAGAAACCUUUUAUAUUUUGAGUCUAUUUUUGAUGUUUUUUUACUUUCUAGCCCUGUCUAGUAGUGUUCAGUCUUUUAGUUGGUGUCAGAGUUUAUCGUAGUAUAGUUGAGUUUUUUCGAGUCUUUCAUUAUUGUACUUCCUAUUUUGUAUUUGAAUAACCAAACAAAAUUAUUAUAAAUGAAAA